rnacentral:rRNA from 1 species
CUGCCCAGUGACUAAUGUUAAACGGCCGCGGUAUCCUAACCGUGCAAAGGUAGCAUAAUCACUUGCCCAUUAAUUGUGGGCUAGAAUGAACGGAUAUACGAAAUAUAGACUGUCUAUAUCAAUUCACUAAAAAUUAAAAUUUGUAUGAAGAUUUACAAAUAAAUUUGUAGGACAAGAAGACCCUAUAGAGCUUAAAUUUAAUUAUAGGUUUGACUAUUAAAUAAUUUCGGUUGGGGCGACUAUGGAUAUUAAAAAACACCUACAAUAAAAAAGAUUUUAAAUCAAAGUGACCCUUUUCAGAUCUAAAAAACAAGCUACCUUAGGGAUAACAGGCUAAUUUAAUUAAAGAGUUCAUAUCUACAAUUAAGAUUGGCACCUCGAUGUUGGCUUAGGGCUUCAGUAUGUCGCAAAAGAUGUAAUAAGAUGGUUUGUUCAACCAUUAAAUCCCU